AGUAGCUAAUGAGAGAGUGCACAUGUGUUUAUAUCUUAUACUGUGAAUAUAAUGAUCACUUACCUCAAUACAAUGAUGUUCUUCUUCAACAGCUGAUGGACGUUUAGUAGACUGCUGUGAUACUGUGACAAACACCAGAAUACCAGUUGAAAAAAUUUUGCAUUAUGACAUGCAAGAAACAAAUCUAUGUCCUGCCAGAGCUAUUUCACACCAAGAAAAACAUAACUAUUUGUUCAGAUCCAGACAGCAUCUGGGCUAAAAAAGCAAAGGCGAUAGUGGAUGGGAGAACAACGAUCAAAACAUCUGGACCGGAGACAGAGAUCAACAAAACAACCAUACAACCAACUUCAGUGUCCAGAGACAGCCCAGAAUCUUCUCUGAGUACUGUGACAUUCACAUCAUCUACAACCAAGGACUGCUGCUUAGCAGUAACAAAAAACAAAACAGCAUUUCAUGAAAUUGUGGACUACAGAGUUCAAGAAACACCACUUUGCUCUAUCAGAGCUGUGCUAUUCAUAACUGUGGGGAGGAACAAAAUUUGCUCUUCUCCAGUAGAAGACUGGGUCCAGGAUUACAUACAGAACUUGAACAGAAGGAAAAAAAAAACAAUAGACAAGAGAGAGUUUGCCAUCAAAAUAAUAAAAGACUCCAACACCAAUAAUUACUUCUGUCUAAAGAAGGAACAAUCUAAAUACUUUUGCUUCAAACAGCCUUAAAACAUCUGUUGGAAAAGCUUGGCCAACUUUUUAUGCCUGUAUACUGAUAAUACCAGGAUAACUAAACAACUUCUAAGUCUAAUAAACGAAUAAGGUGAUGCUAGUGAAAAAUCAGCACUGUGGUUUCAAUCACAUUGUCAUAUUUGUAUUCAUGUUUUGUGCGAUGACUUCUAUUUUGUGUAUUGCCUUUUCUUAAUUUACUUAAUUUAAAAUCAAUGUAAGUAUCCAAAAAUAAUUUAACUAGUAACACAAAAUCUUAGGCUGAUGAUACAAGGGCCAACUUUUUUUGAGCAAUGUUG